UACGUAGGGGCUAGCGUUAUCCGGAAUUACUGGGCGUAAAGGGUGCGUAGGUGGUUUCUUAAGUCAGAGGUGAAAGGCUACGGCUCAACCGUAGUAAGCCUUUGAAACUGGGAAACUUGAGUGCAGGAGAGGAGAGUGGAAUUCCUAGUGUAGCGGUGAAAUGCGUAGAUAUCGGGAGGAACAUCGGUGGCGAAGGCGGGUAACUGGACUGCAACUGACGCUGAGGCGCGAAAGUGUGGGGAGCAAACAGGAUUAGAUACCCUGGUAGUCCCUGAGCGGG
rnacentral:rRNA from 1 species